UCUAUUUCAAGAGCAAAUCUUUUAUUAUUUAAAAAAAAAAAUUCAUUCACGAUAACUUUAUCUUCGUUUAAAGGAUUAGUGACUUUGAAGUUAGACGUAUUUUAAAAGCUGUACAAUUUUAUUUUUCUGUGUUCCAAUUGUUUUGAAAAAGAAAAAGCCGUUUUUAGUUUACAUAUGCUUUGUGUUGAAAAUAUGUUUAUUGAAGAUAUGUGAAAUGACAUGUGCUGUAAUGGGAUGCCGUCCGACGAAGCCAAAAAAUUCUGUUGCUGAUGAAAAUGUUGACCGUCUCACCAAUGGUACUGCCCAAUUUUUCAUCAAAUGAUUUAUCAAUAUUAGGUAACCAUAUAAAUGAUAGUAACUGCAAUCAGGUUACGAAUGGCACUAAGCAUCAAAAUUAUAACAAGGUCAACAAAAGAUCCGCACUUGCUGUUCCUUCAAAUAAAGAACUUUCUUGUACUCAGUCACAGCUAGACUUUUUUGAGAUGCUCGAUAAAAAAAUUGAUUUGGGUCGCGAUUAUAACUCGAAAGAAGAUUUAUCUAGAAUAAAAAGGUGACUUAAUGAUCAAGCCAUUUUUAUUGUUUUAAAAUUUUAAAAUUUCAUUCUGUUGUAAUAUUUUAUAUAUUUCUAUAAGACGUAAAUAUUUUUUCAGAAAAAUUCAACGAAUUUUUAAUGUUCAUUUUUUCGUCCUUUUUUUUUUUUUUUUUCUUCUGUUGAAGCAAAAUUUAUGUAAUUAUUUAAAAACUACUGCUGUUGCAGUAUUUAUGAAGCUCAAUCUUAUAGCAUUGCAAUAAAAAUGUUUAUUAAUAUAUUUUAUUAUAUAUUGUUAAUUUAAUCUUCUUUUUUUAAAUAUUGUCUUGUUUAAUAUUGUUCUUCAUGUUUCGGUACUAUUUUUUUUAAAGAAUAAAAUUAUAAAACUUUAA